AACGUAGGACGCAAGCGUUAUCCGGAGUUACUGGGCGUAAAGCGCGGGCAGGCGGUUGGAUGCGUCCGAUGUGAAAGCGCCCGGCUAAACCGGGCGAGGCCAUUGGAAACGGUCGAACUGGAGGCAGUAGAGGCAGGCGGAAUUCCGGGUGGAGCGGUGAAAUGCGUUGAUAUCCUAAGGAACACCGGUGGCGAAAGCGGCGUACUGGGUCUUAUCUGACGCUGAGGCACGAAAGCUAGGGUAGCGAACGGG
rnacentral:rRNA from 1 species